rnacentral:rRNA from 1 species
GUGGAUGCCCUGGCAGUCAGAGGCGAUGAAGGGCGUGCUAAUCUGCGAUAAGCGCCGGUAAGGUGAUAUGAACCGUUAUAACCGGCGAUACCCGAAUGGGGAAACCCAGUGUGAUUCGUCACACUAUCAUUAACUGAAUCCAUAGGUUAAUGAGGCGAACCGGGGGAACUGAAACAUCUAAGUACCCCGAGGAAAAGAAAUCAACCGAGAUUCCCCCAGUAGCGGCGAGCGAACGGGGAGGAGCCCAGAGCCUGAAUCAGCAUGUGUGUUAGUGGAAGCGUCUGGAAAGGCGCGCGAUACAGGGUGACAGCCCCGUACACAAAAGCGCAUGUGCUGUGAGCUCGAUGAGUAGGGCGGGACACGUGGUAUCCUGUCUGAAUAUGGGGGGACCAUCCUCCAAGGCUAAAUACUCCUGACUGACCGAUAGUGAACCAGUACCGUGAGGGAAAGGCGAAAAGAACCCCGGCGAGGGGAGUGAAAAAGAACCUGAAACCGUGUACGUACAAGCAGUGGGAGCACAGGUUUACCUGUGUGACUGCGUACCUUUUGUAUAAUGGGUCAGCGACUUAUAUUCUGUAGCAAGGUUAACCGAAUAGGGGAGCCGGAGGGAAACCGAGUCUUAAUUGGGCGUUAAGUUGCAGGGUAUAGACCCGAAACCCGGUGAUCUAGCCAUGGGCAGGUUGAAGGUUGGGUAACACUAACUGGAGGACCGAACCGACUAAUGUUGAAAAAUUAGCGGAUGACCUGUGGCUGGGGGUGAAAGGCCAAUCAAACCGGGAGAUAGCUGGUUCUCCCCGAAAGCUAUUUAGGUAGCGCCUCGUGAAUUCAUCUCCGGGGGUAGAGCACUGUUUCGGCUAGGGGGCCAUCCCGGCUUACCAACCCGAUGCAAACUGCGAAUACCGGAGAAUGUUAUCACGGGAGACACACGGCGGGUGCUAACGUCCGUCGUGAAGAGGGAAACAACCCAGACCGCCAGCUAAGGUCCCAAAGUCAUGGUUAAGUGGGAAACGAUGUGGGAAGGCCCAGACAGCCAGGAUGUUGGCUUAGAAGCAGCCAUCAUUUAAAGAAAGCGUAAUAGCUCACUGGUCGAGUCGGCCUGCGCGGAAGAUGUAACGGGGCUAAACCAUGCACCGAAGCUGCGGCAGCGACGCUUAUGCGUUGUUGGGUAGGGGAGCGUUCUGUAAGCCUGUGAAGGUGGCCUGUGAGGGUUGCUGGAGGUAUCAGAAGUGCGAAUGCUGACAUAAGUAACGAUAAAGCGGGUGAAAAGCCCGCUCGCCGGAAGACCAAGGGUUCCUGUCCAACGUUAAUCGGGGCAGGGUGAGUCGACCCCUAAGGCGAGGCCGAAAGGCGUAGUCGAUGGGAAACGGGUUAAUAUUCCCGUACUUGGUGUUACUGCGAAGGGGGGACGGAGAAGGCU